rnacentral:rRNA from 1 species
UGCCCUGGACUCUGGGAUAAGCGCUGGAAACGGCGUCUAAUACUGGAUAUGAGACGUGAUCGCAUGGUCGUGUUUGGAAAGAUUUUUCGGUCUGGGAUGGGCUCGCGGCCUAUCAGCUUGUUGGUGAGGUAAUGGCUCACCAAGGCGUCGACGGGUAGCCGGCCUGAGAGGGUGACCGGCCACACUGGGACUGAGACACGGCCCAGACUCCUACGGGAGGCAGCAGUGGGGAAUAUUGCACAAUGGGCGGAAGCCUGAUGCAGCAACGCCGCGUGAGGGAUGACGGCCUUCGGGUUGUAAACCUCUUUUAGCAGGGAAGAAGCGAAAGUGACGGUACCUGCAGAAAAAGCGCCGGCUAACUACGUGCCAGCAGCCGCGGUAAUACGUAGGGCGCAAGCGUUAUCCGGAAUUAUUGGGCGUAAAGAGCUCGUAGGCGGUUUGUCGCGUCUGCUGUGAAAUCCCGAGGCUCAACCUCGGGCCUGCAGUGGGUACGGGCAGACUAGAGUGCGGUAGGGGAGAUUGGAAUUCCUGGUGUAGCGGUGGAAUGCGCAGAUAUCAGGAGGAACACCGAUGGCGAAGGC